AGUGAACGCUGGCGGCAGGCCUAACACAUGCAAGUCGAACGGCAGCACGGCAGUAGCAAUACUGUGGGUGGCGAGUGGCGGACGGGUGAGGAAUACAUCGGGAUCUACCCUGUUGUGGGGGAUAACGUAGGGAAACUUACGCUAAUACCGCAUAAGAACUGAGGUUGAAAGCGGCGGACCGCAAGGCGUCGCGCGAUUGGAUGAACCGAUGUCCGAUUAGCUAGUUGGCGGGUAAAGGCCCACCAAGGCGACGAUCGGUAGCUGGUCUGAGAGGACGACCAGCCACACUGGAACUGAGACACGGUCCAGACUCCUACGGGAGGCAGCAGUGGGGAAUAUUGGACAAUGGGCGCAAGCCUGAUCCAGCCAUGCCGCGUGGGUGAAGAAGGCCUCGGUUGUAAGACC
rnacentral:rRNA from 1 species